AGAGCGAACGCUGGCGGCAGGCUUAACACAUGCAAGUCGAGCGGGCGUAGCAAUACGUCAGCGGCAGACGGGUGAGUAACGCGUGGGAACGUACCUUUUGGUUCGGAACAACACAGGGAAACUUGUGCUAAUACCGGAUAAGCCCUUACGGGGAAAGAUUUAUCGCCAAAAGAUCGGCCCGCGUCUGAUUAGCUAGUUGGUGAGGUAACGGCUCACCAAGGCGACGAUCAGUAGCUGGUCUGAGAGGAUGAUCAGCCACAUUGGGACUGAGACACGGCCCAAACUCCUACGGGAGGCGGCAGUGGGGAAUAUGGACAAUGGGCGCAAGCCUGAUCCAGCCAUGCCGCGUGAGUGAUGAAGGCCCUAGGGUUGUAAAGCUCUUUGUGCGGGAAGAUAAUGACGGUACCGCAAGAAUAACGCCCGGCUAACUUCGCGCCAGCAGCCGC
rnacentral:rRNA from 1 species